rnacentral:rRNA from 1 species
GAUGAACGCUGGCGGCGUGCUUAACACAUGCAAGUCGAACGAUGAAGCUCAGCUUGUUGGGUGGAUUAGUGGCGAACGGGUGAGUGACACGUGAGUAACCUGCCCUUACCUCUUGGAUAAGCCUGGGAAACUAGGUCUAAUACCGGAUAGGAGCGCCUCCCGCAUGGUGGGUGUUGGAAAGAUUUAGCGGUUUUGGAUGGACUCGCGGCCUAUCAGCUUGUUUGUGAGGUAAUGGCUCACCAAGGCGACGACGGGUAGCCGGCCUGAGAGGGUGACCUGCCACACUGGGACUGAGAGACGGACCAGACUCCUACGGGAGGCAGCAGUGGGGAAUAUUGCACAAUGGGCGGAAGCCUGAUGCAGCGACGCCGCGUGAGGGAUGACGGCCUUCGGGUUGUAAACCGCUUUCAGUAGGGAAGAAGCGAAAGUGACGGUACCUGCAGAAGAAGCACCGGCUAACUACGUG